rnacentral:rRNA from 1 species
UACGGGGGGGCAAGCGUUGUUCGGAAUUACUGGGCGUAAAGGGCUCGUAGGCGGCCAACUAAGUCAGACGUGAAAUCCCCAGGCUCAACCUGGGAACUGCGUCUGAUACUGGAUGGCUUGAAUCCGGGAGAGGGAUGCAGAAUUCCGGGUGUAGCGGUGGAAUGCGUAGAUAUCCGAAAGAACACCGGUGGCGAAGGCGACUCGCUGGGCUUUUGCUGACACUGAAUCACGACAGCGUGGGGAGCAAACAGG